CAGUAGCCACGGUAAUACGUAGGGUGCGAGCGUUAAUCGGAAUUACUGGGCGUAAAGCGUGCGCAGGCGGUUAUAUAAGACAGAUGUGAAAUCCCCGGGCUCAACCUGGGACCUGCAUUUGUGACUGUAUAGCUAGAGUACGGUAGAGGGGGAUGGAAUUCCGCGUGUAGCAGUGAAAUGCGUAGAUAUGCGGAGGAACACCGAUGGCGAAGGCAAUCCCCUGGACCUGUACUGACGCUCAUGCACGAAAGCGUGAGGAGCAAACAGGAUUAGAUACCCCAGUAGUCCUGUCUCUUAUACA
rnacentral:rRNA from 1 species